rnacentral:misc_RNA from 1 species
UACGUAGGGGGCAAGCGUUAUCCGGAAUUAUUGGGCGUAAAGCGCGCGCAGGCGGUCGGUUAAGUCAGGUGUGAAAGGCUGCGGCUCAACCGCAGAGCGGCAUCUGAAACUGGUCGACUUGAGUGCAGGAGAGGGGAGCGGAAUUCCCGGUGUAGCGGUGGAAUGCGUAGAGAUCGGGAGGAACACCAGUGGCGAAGGCGGCUCUCUGGCCUGUAACUGACGCUGAGGCGCGAAAGCGUGGGUAGCAAACAGG